rnacentral:ncRNA from 2 species
UAUGUUCUAUAUUGGAUCUGCUCGGACGUGUCUUUAAAUGUCCGAUCAGGGGGAAAUUCGGUGAGAAUCCGGUGCAACCGCCAUUACUGUGUUAAGAUCAUAAGAUGGUCUUUCAGUCAGAAUACCCGCAGAUUUAUUCUACAUACA